rnacentral:rRNA from 1 species
UACAGAGGGUGCAAGCGUUAAUCGGAAUUACUGGGCGUAAAGCGCGCGUAGGCGGCUGCCUAAGUCGGGUGUGAAAGCCCCGGGCUCAACCUGGGAACUGCAUUCGAUACUGGGCGGCUAGAGUAUGAGAGAGGGAGGUAGAAUUCCACGUGUAGCGGUGAAAUGCGUAGAUAUGUGGAGGAAUACCGGUGGCGAAGGCGGCCUCCUGGUUCAAUACUGACGCUGAGGUGCGAAAGCGUGGGGAGCAAACAGGAUUAGAUACCCGCGUAGUCC